rnacentral:lncRNA from 1 species
GCAGUAGCUCCAAAAUAACAGAAUUUUUUGAAAGCCAUAUUAGACAUUUUAGCUCCAAACUAACAAAAACUUCACCAAAUACUUGUAGAAAAUUUACCAAAUAUAAUCUGCCAUAUUACAGAAAAUUUAUAUUUGUGACACACAAGCGGACUACUAUAAUAAUGUCCACCACAAAAUUAAAUUAAAGAAGAAAUAUAAAAUAUCUUAAAUGCAAAUAACGCCGCAAUAUGGGGUCUGAAUACGGAAAAUUUCUUCGUCGCCUUGUGAGUGGAUGGUAGUCUACUUAUCCGAAGUAGAUUCGAACCAUAACCCCCUUUUCAGACUCAUUUAAUCCGAAAAAUAUGUCCAGGUCAGUUGGGCUAUUGCAAACAGCUUUAGCGACAGUGAUCUUAUCCUCGACACCUAAGAAUAACGGCGAUAGGGCAUCCAACACCUUCUUACGUAUAGUGGACGCAUCGUGCUCAAAACCAUCUUACUUAUAACAAUAUAUAACAAUAUUCACUGUAAAAAAACAAUAUAUAAUAGAAGAAUGACCAAUAAACCUGCAAAAUUAUCAAUCAAUUGGAUCUAUUUUCAGUCAUUUCCUGUUCGAAUUCAACAAUUGUAAAUCCUACAACAUUCCCUCAAGCAUAAAAUUUGAUCUUUACUCCAAAAACUACAACUUUUAUUAACCUUGGAUUCAACAAAUAUAUGAUCUACUACUUUUUCGAAAUAAAAAUUAUAUUUAUUCCAAAAAAUUGCAUCUUUUCCAAGCCUUGCACUCAAACAAAAAACAAUACAAAAGGGGCAACUAAAUUUCAAUUGAAGUCUGCACAAACCCAAAGGUUUUUUUUCCAAAAAAAUGUUAUUUUCCAACUAAGCAUGAGGGUAUUGUACUACUUUAUCCCAAAUAAAAAUUGGUUAUUUUUUCCAAAAAAUGCUACCUUUCCCAAACCUUAAGCAUGUAUUGUGAAUACCAAAAAAAAAGAGAGAUUUUGUAUCGUAAAAAUCAAUUCUUGAUAAGUUUUUCUUGACGCAGAUUUUUUUUUUUUUUCAUUGUUACAAAGAAGAGAGGGAGAGAGAGAGGAGAUACACACAAAGAGAGAGAGAGAGAGAGAGAGAGAGAGAGAGAGAGAGAGAGAGAGAGAGAGAGAGAGUAGAGAGAGAGUGGAGAGAGCAAAAAAAUACAAGGCGUUCUACAGUCAAAAAGGCUCCUCUCACUACCAUCAAACCCCAGAACCAGAGCUUCAUUCCUACCUCCUCCAUUAUAGGGUUUAAGGUACAGAUUCAACCAUGCAAUAAACCCCAUACUAAAAUUAUUUAAGCAGUAACUUUAUACUUUAUUAAUAUUCUCUCUCUCAUGUCACUCGAAACAUGAAAUUAAGCAGAUAAUACAAUAUAAUCGGUUUACUCGAACACCCAAUGGCGUAAAAUAGUCCGAUAAUCACAAAUUACAACUAACAGUAACACACAACAAUUACAGUCAAUAAAUAAAUUAUUAAUAACCAUUCCAGGACCGAUUAUAACUCCAUUUGAAAGUCCCAAUUUUUAUGUGAAAGAAAAAUAAUUUAUUUUGCACAAACAUACCCACAAAGAAUUUGAAAGUUCAUAGAACUAACCCGUUUGAGAUGUACGCUUCCACUACCGAGGACUUGGCGAUGCUACAAUCGUCCACCGUUGACUGUAAGGUAAAGCUCCCGGAAGCGAAAAUGGCGGAGAGCUCCGAAAACGAGGCGCCUGCCGCUGCUACGAUCGGCCACCGCCGCCGCCGUAUCCUUUAAACUGAUUCAACAAAUUUAUAAUUCAGAACCAAAAAAAAUAAAGGGAAACAAAAUAAAACUCAAACAUUAAGCCUGAUUAUGGAAGAAAAAGCAUAAUCGAUAGGGCAAGAAACCAAUUUGUGUAGAUAGUUGAUAGUCGGGUUGCUAGGGCUUGUGAGAGAUGAGAUUGGGGGAAAAUGUAUUAUAUAUGCAGUACAUUUGUAAUAACAAAAGAAAAUGAGGGCAUAAACGUAUAAACACA